rnacentral:rRNA from 1 species
GCAUAUCAAUAAGCGGAGGCACAAGAAACCAACCGGGAUUGCCCUAGUAACGGCGAGUGAAGCGGCAACAGCUCAAAUUUGAAAUCUGGCUCUUUUAGAGUCCGAGUUGUAAUUUGCAGAGGGCGCUUUGGCUUUGGCAGCGGUCCAAGUUCCUUGGAACAGGACGUCACAGAGGGUGAGAAUCCCGUACGUGGUCGCUGGCUAUUGCCGUGUAAAGCCCCUUCGACGAGUCGAGUUGUUUGGGAAUGCAGCUCUAAAUGGGAGGUACAUUUCUUCUAAAGCUAAAUAUUGGCCAGAGACCGAUAGCGCACAAGUAGAGUGAUCGAAAGAUGAAAAGCACUUUGGAAAGAGAGUCAAACAGCACGUGAAAUUGUUGAAAGGGAAGCGCUUGCAGCCAGACUUGCUUGCAGUUGCUCAUCCGGGCUUUUGCCCGGUGCACUCUUCUGCAGGCAGGCCAGCAUCAGUUUGGGCGGUAAGAUAAAGGUCUCUGUCACGUACCUCUCUUCGGGGAGGCCUUAUAGGGGAGACGACAUAUUACCAGCCUGGACUGAGGUCCGCGCAUCUGCUAGGAUGCUGGCGUAAUGGCUGUAAGCGGCCCGUCUUGAAACACGGACCAAGGAGUCUAACAUCUAUGCGAGUGUUUGGGUGUCAAGCCCGAGCGCGUAAUGAAAGUGAACGGAGGUAGGAACCCGCAAGGGUGCACUAUCGACCGAUCCUGAUGUCUUCGGAAGGAUUUGAGUAAGAGCAUGGCUGUUGGGACCCGAAAGAUGGUGAACUAUGCUUGAAUAGGGUGAAGCCAGAGGAAACUCUGGUGGAGGCUCGCAGCGGUUCUGACGUGCAAAUCGAUCGUCAAAUUUGGGCAUAGGGGCGAAAGACUAAUCGAACUAUCUAGUAGCUGGUUCCUGCCGAAG